CCAGACUCCUACGGGAGGCAGCAGUGGGGGAUAUUGCACAAUGGGGGGAACCCUGAUGCAGCGACGCCGCGUGGGUGAAGGAGUGCUUCGGCAUGUAAAGCCCUAUCGGCAGGGAAGAAGCAAGACGGUACCUGACUAAGAAGCCCCGGCUAACUACGUGCCAGCAGCCGCGGUAAUACGUAGGGGGCGAGCGUUAUCCGGAUUCACUGGGUGUAAAGGGAGCGUAGACGGCCAAGCAAGCCAGGGGUGAAAGCCCGGGGCCCAACCCCGGGACUGCCCUUGGAACUGCAUGGCUGGAGUGCGGGAGGGGCAGGCGGAAUUCCUGGUGUAGCGGUGAAAUGCGUAGAUAUUAGGAGGAACACCAGUGGCGAAGGCGGCCUGCUGGACGACAACUGACGGUGAGGCGCGAAAGCGUGGGGAGCAAACAGGAUUAGAUACCCCCGUAUUU
rnacentral:rRNA from 1 species